GUGGAAUAGUCACUCCUGGGCUUCUGUUUGCCUCUUCAAACUGUGUAUUAGAAGGAAGUUUGCAUAACAUUAUGUGGACUGGACAGCUGGUGUUAUUUAAGAUGAACUAACCCGAAGUUAGUGCGUGAGCGGCUGUGACCAGCACACUGAGCGCUGUGGAGAGGAGCUACUCCAUGUCCGAGGUCAGGGACAUCAGCCAAGAGUGCCAGGCUGCAACAGCGCAGGAAUGGGCAAGAGGAGCUACCCCACGUGUGAAGUCAGGGGUGGCAGCAGCUGAGACGAGCUACCCCAUGUCCGAGGCCAGGGGCGGCAGCCAGGAGGACCUACCCCACGCCCGUGGCCAGGGCCCACGGUCAGAAAGAGCAACCCUACCUCCUAGAAGCGGUGGCUGCACAGGCGCAGGAAAGCCUAGAAGAGCUAUUCCAUGUUUAAGGUCAGAAGGGGCAGCGGUGAGAAGAUACCCCUCAUCCAAGGUAAGGGGCAGUGGCUGCGCUUUGCUGGAGCAGCUGUGAAGAGAUACCCCACGUCCAAGCUCAAGAAGAGACUUGAUCACCAUCACAAUUCUCACAUACCUCAGUUGGCCAGAGGGAUAAAGGAUGCAGCAUUUCUGUCUCCUCCGUGGGGCCAAAGAGGGCUCCUUUGUGGUUAACAGCAGUCCAUGGAGGACAGCCUGGGAGGAAACCUAAGGGCUGGCCUGGAACAUGUGCAAGGCAGUGACUUCAGAGACUCCCAGAACAGCUGCCAGACUUUUUGAUGGCAACUAUUCUGACCAGUGUGAGAUGGUACCUCAUUGUGGAGCAGCCAUGAAGAGAUACCCCACGUCCAAGAAAAUUAAGAAUAAGGUCACUAAAUGCUUGAGGGGGACAAAUCCAAAUCAUACCUCCCAAGACACAGUUCGAGCAAAUGCCUGCUGGUGUGUGGAGACAGAAGCAAUACACUGUGUGUGUCACUCUGCUGUGGACCACUAAUCGCUGAAGGCUAAGGGAGCAC
ensembl:lncRNA